CGCUCGCAGGCUCUCAGUGUCUACUUACUUCUCCUCUCCUCCCUUCCUCUUCCUCUUCCUCUUCCCCUUCCCCCCCAGGACAGCUCAGCCAGGCUCUAGGGUUGGACGGCCUUCUUCGCGGUCCUGCUUCCCUCUUCCCCCCACCCUCCGCCCUCGGAGCUCACAUUGUGACUGUGGAGGCUGCCGCAGCCCCUCGGGACACACCCUGCGCCCAGGGCAAGAGGACUGACCUCUUUGCUCUCGCCGGCCCCAGGGCCCGCUAGCACCCCCCUCCCCGUUGCAGCCUCAGACCCAGAAUGAAAUCUCCGAUUCUGGCCUCGGUAAAGAAAGACGUGCCUCAGGGUCCGACUGCCCUGGCUUCGUCCCCGGGAGGACACCCUCCUCCCCUGGGCCUCGGACACGGACACAGACACUCACGACCGCUUCUUGAAGUUUGCUCCAUCCUUUUCCUUCUGUCCGUCUCUGAGCAAAUGUCCCUCCCCCUGUCUUCAUAAACUUCAUUAAGAACCUCCUGCACGCCGCCCUUCUUUCUAAGAAUUUCACCAGAAGAAACGACUCUUGGCAGAUUCAAGUGGGAAUCACGCAAAGGACUGGAAACCGGAUAGGUGGGACCCCGUUUCUAAACUGUCUUUUGUGAUUCUGCUUAACCGGGCCCCCCAUCUCCCUGCCCCCCAGCUCCUCUUUGACAAAUAAUAUCUGCCUAGCUGUAGCAAGCACUACAUAAGAAACAUUCUCUACAGCAUGGGGGGAGGGGUCGAAAUGUUGAGUUUGGGUUUUUUAAGACAAAAUAGUGACAUAGCUAAUUCAUAAUUCAGCUAUACCUUAAAAUGUUGCCAAAUUAGGUUAACGAUUUAAAAAUAGUUACAGCUGUACAUAUGACUUCAUUCUUGGCUACACAUUCCCUUCUCCAUACAUAGAAGGAGGAGGGGACAACAAUCUGAGGCAACGAGAAAUUUCUGGCCAAAAAAACAGCUUCAGCUUCACAGUCUGGUAGGGGAAAUUGAAGAGAAACUAACAUUAGCAUAAACUCAGCAUAUUAUGAAUGUAAUUUCAAUUAUAAUUCAGAUUUAUUGGCCCAUUUUUUUUUGUUUUAUUUAAUGACCUAGUUUGUCAACAAAUACAUAUCACCACUUUUAAAAAUUUGGAGUUCAGUUUUAUUUGAAAACUUGUGGAUGUUCACUAAUAAAAAUUUUACCAUGAUCAUA